UCCGGUUUGGCACCGGCAGUCCUCCCAGAGUCCUCGACUUGACUCGCUAGCAACUGGGAGCGGGGGUUGCGCUCGUUGCGGGACUUAACCCAACAUCUCACGACACGAGCUGACGACAGCCAUGCAGCACCUGUGCGGACUCCGGCCGAACCGAAGGGACCAUCUCUGGUCCCGGCGAGUCCCAUGUCAAGGGCUGGUAAGGUUCUGCGCGUUGCGUCGAAUUGAACCACAUGCUCCACCGCUUGUGCGGGCCCCCGUCAAUUCCUUUGGGUUUCAACCUUGCGGCCGUACUCCCCAGGCGGGGUACUUCCUGCGUUAGCGCCGGCACCCAGAGGGUCGCUCCCCCAGGCACCUAGUACCCAUCGUUUACGGCGUGGACUAC
rnacentral:misc_RNA from 1 species